CAUGGAUACCUGAGAUAACAGUGCUGAGUGACUAGAACAAGGGGUUACAUGCUUGGUUCUUAUAAGGAGGAACGUACUGAAUAUCAAGAAUACUUCAGAGGAUCCUGGAGCAGACAUGGUACCUCCACAUAACACAGUGCACCUUGAUGAUAUUAGCAUCCACUGCCAAUAAGCAUAAAAGUAAUCAUGGGAAAGGUACUCACCUAAGAAGAUGUUGAGCCAAGAGAAUGAUAUUGCUAAAAGGGACACUGGCAUUGACAUCCUCAUAGCAGCAGCCUAAGACCCUCAGUCCUUGAAGCAAAUGAAAGAACAUUCAAAACAAGCAAGUUUAGAAGGCAAAAAACUUUAUUGAGAAUGUAUGGAUUGAAUGUACUCCACAUAAGAGGCAUGGCUAAAUGAAUGUUCAUCAAGGCCUGAGAUGUGUGACCCUAAGAAACAAGACUGAUGGUUUAAUAAAGAACCAACAAAGACCAAGAAAAAAGAUGAAAAUGCUAACACUGAAAGAUAAAACACCGGCUGCAGGAUGUGGGAGAAAUGUCUACUAACUGUAAAGCAUGUGGUUUGAGGUGUUCAUCUGCAAGGACGUGUAUUGAGAAAACAAAAUGGUGGUUGGCCUAUGCUUUUCUCAUGAAGCAGAGCAACUCCAGCAGCCUGAGAGAAGGCAGAAAGACACAUAGAUUAAUUUAUCUUGCUCAGAGAUACAGAGUCUGUCUAAGAAGAAUUGAAUAUGUGAGUGCUGUCUUUUGAGAUGGACAUAGAACUCUUUCUUCCCCUACCCCAACCCAAAUUUCUAGAUUUAUUUGGAGACAACAAUCUCCCUAAAACAACAUGGUGGGUGUAUGUGUGUGUGUAGCAAAUGCAUUAUAUAAGGCUGGCUCCUCAUAAGUAAUAAAUAAAAUAAUAAAGAUGUGAGUGGAAAACAAAAGAGU
rnacentral:lncRNA from 1 species